rnacentral:rRNA from 1 species
UACGGAGGGUGCAAGCGUUAUCCGGAUUCACUGGGUUUAAAGGGUGCGUAGGUUGAUUGGUAAGUCAGUGGUGAAAUACUCCGACUCAAUCGGAGAACUGCCGUUGAUACUAUCAAUCUUGAAUACGGUGGAGGCGGGCGGAAUGCGUCAUGUAGUGGUGAAAUACUUAGAUAUGACGCAGAACACCUAUUGCGAAGGCAGCUCGCUACACCGGCAUUGACACUGAGGCACGAAAGCGUGGGGAGCAAACAGG